UAGGGAAUCUUCCGCAAUGGACGAAAGUCUGACGGAGCAACGCCGCGUGAGUGAAGAAGGCUUUCGGUUCGUAAAACUCUGUUGUUAGGGAAGAAAAAAUGUAUAGUAACUAUAUACAAAAGAGACGGUACCUAACCAGAAAGCCACGGCUAACUACGUGCCAGCAGCCGCGGUAAUACGUAGGUGGCAAGCGUUGUCCGGAAUUAUUGGGCGUAAAGCGCGCGCAGGUGGUUUAGAAAGUCUGAUGUGAAAGCCCACGGCUCAACCGUGGAGGGUCAUUGGAAACUAAUAAACUUGAGUGCAGGAGAGAAAAGUGGAAUUCCUAGUGUAGCGGUGAAAUGCGUAGAGAUUAGGAGGAACACCGGUGGCGAAAGCGGCUUUUUGGCCUGCAACUAACACUGAGGCGCGAAAGCGUGGGGAGCAAACAGG
rnacentral:rRNA from 1 species